rnacentral:rRNA from 1 species
AGAGUUCGAUCCUGGCUCAGGAUGAACGCUGGCGGCGCGCCUAACACAUGCAAGUCGAACGGCACCCCUCUCCGGAGGGAAGCGAGUGGCGAACGGCUGAGUAACACGUGGAGAACCUGCCCCCUCCCCCGGGAUAGCCGCCCGAAAGGACGGGUAAUACCGGAUACCCCGGGGUGCCGCAUGGCACCCCGGCUAAAGCCCCGACGGGAGGGGAUGGCUCCGCGGCCCAUCAGGUAGACGGCGGGGUGACGGCCCACCGUGCCGACAACGGGUAGCCGGGUUGAGAGACCGACCAGCCAGAUUGGGACUGAGACACGGCCCAGACUCCUACGGGAGGCAGCAGUGGGGAAUCUUGCGCAAUGGGGGGAACCCUGACGCAGCGACGCCGCGUGCGGGACGGAGGCCUUCGGGUCGUAAACCGCUUUCAGCAGGGAAGAGUCAAGACUGUACCUGCAGAAGAAGCCCCGGCUAACUACGUGCCAGCAGCCGCGGUAAUACGUAGGGGGCGAGCGUUAUCCGGAUUCAUUGGGCGUAAAGCGCGCGUAGGCGGCCCGGCAGGCCGGGGGUCGAAGCGGGGGGCUCAACCCCCCGAAGCCCCCGGAACCUCCGCGGCUUGGGUCCGGUAGGGGAGGGUGGAACACCCGGUGUAGCGGUGGAAUGCGCAGAUAUCGGGUGGAACACCGGUGGCGAAGGCGGCCCUCUGGGCCGAGACCGACGCUGAGGCGCGAAAGCUGGGGGAGCGAACAGGAUUAGAUACCCUGGUAGUCCCAGCCGUAAACGAUGGACGCUAGGUGUGGGGGGACGAUCCCCCCGUGCCGCAGCCAACGCAUUAAGCGUCCCGCCUGGGGAGUACGGCCGCAAGGCUAAAACUCAAAGGAAUUGACGGGGGCCCGCACAAGCAGCGGAGCAUGUGGCUUAAUUCGAAGCAACGCGAAGAACCUUACCAGGGCUUGACAUAUGGGUGAAGCGGGGGAGACCCCGUGGCCGAGAGGAGCCCAU